CUACUUACCUGGCAGGGGAGAUACCAUGAUCAUGAAAGUAGUUUUCCCAGGGUGAGCCUUAUCCUUUGCAUUCCAGAUGUACUGACCCCUAUGAUUUCCCCAAAGGUGGGAAACUGACUGCGUACUUUGUGGGAGUAGGGGACUGCGUUUGCAUUCUCCCCUG